rnacentral:rRNA from 1 species
AACAAGCUACUAAGGGUCUACGGUGGAUGCCUGGGCGCUGGGAGCCGAUGAAGGACGCAGCAGGCUGCGAUAAGCCUCGGUGAGCCGCCAAGCAGGCUUUGANCCCGGGGAUGU